AGGAGCCUUGGUGGGUUGCUCUCUGAUAGAGGAUCUGUCUGCCUCUUGAUACAAUUGCUGAACUUGAAGGCCAAAGGAAACUUUUCUAAAGUCUCUGUUUAUCUUGUGCUUUUCCAGAUUCCAUUCUCCAAGUUUUUCCUGUCCAGUCGGGGUCGAAUUCAGGAUAACCAGCACCCAUUGUGGUUGGACAAGAUCAGCACAAUUGGCUUCACACUGGGUGACAAAGUGGAUGGUCCAUUUCAAUUGGAAAUCGACUUCAUUGCUGUAUACAACGACCGGGCUCACACUGAAGAAUUUGCUUAUGAAAAGUACAAAAGGAAUCCAGAGGUAUAAAUAAAAUCACAGGAAUACGUAACCUCAGCUAGACCCAGGAACUCAGUAACCUCUGUCAGGUGGUCUGACAUUCCGCUUCCUGAGCCAAUUUGAAGGGGGCAGCAGCUGAUUCUGCACACAUCAGCCAAAAUACCUGCAUCUAAGAAGGUUGAACGUGUGUGGAGAAACUCAAAUAAAAUUUGUCUUUGUAAUCGUCGAUCUAUACUUCCUUACACAACAACUAGCAUGCCCUGUGGGAGGUAGUUCCUGUUCUUGUACGAGCUGAUGGUGUAGCAUUCAUGGGUACCUUGCUACGGUGCUGAUUCCCCUGGACUGGCAGCUUUAAGGUAGUGAGUUGUUAAACUAUGGACUGAAAACUGCCAGCAAGUACGUUUGAUACCAGCAAGAAAUGAACAAAAGGCAAGGUGGACUUGAAAAUUUCAAUUGUUGCCUUUCUACGAGCUAGUAUUUAUAUAGCACCUCUGACAUGGUAAAGUGUCCCCAAAUAUUUUACAGGAGCAAUAAUCAGAUAAUACUUGACUCUGGUCCACUUCAGAAAAGUCCCACCAUUCUCUUUCACUAACUUAAAACCCUCUGCAAUAUCAACAAUUCUCCAAUUCUAGACUUUUGAGCAACACCAGUUUUAACAGAAUAUUUGAAAAAAAGGUUAAAAAAAUUGGGCAAAGGGGAGAUGGUGGGAAAGGAAAGCAGAGAUAAUGAAAGGAAUGGAGAGGAGAAACUGGCACAAGCAAAUGUAAGAUGGAUUUGAUAUAUAUCUCUGUAUAUGAAAACAUGCAAAUUCAAAGGAGUCGGCCAUUUGGCCCCUCAAGCCUCCUCCAUCUCUUUUGAAAAUGUCAUGGCUGACCUGAAAAUGGCCUUAACUCCACUUUUCUAUCUCCCCUCAUAAUCUUUGACCCUCUCGUAAAUCAAACUUAGCCUUUAAUAUAUUAAAUGAAAAAAAGAAAAUUGACCUGAUUAAAAUAGUUAUUUUGAUUGUAUUUCCACACUGAUAACUACAAUGGAAUAUGAUUAAAACAUCAUUCAUUUCAUAUUUUUGCAUUGUGUCCUGAACUUUCUGGGUUGACUGCUACAUGUGAAAGCAGAUGUUUUAAUGUGGAGUUAUUUUAAAAGAUGGUGUCACUGAUAUUUAUAGUAUCUGACAUAAAGAAAGUUGUUUGAAAAGUGAGGCAUAAUGAUUUCCAAUAAUCACUGCAAAAUAGAUGGAUGCUCAGUCAUGUAAGUUAAUAACAUUAUACAUAGAAAGUUUGUUUAUAUUCUUCAUGCCAUGGUUCCAAAGAGCAUUGUAUCAGCACAAGGAGAUUUUAGAGAAAUUUAUUAUUUACUUGUAACGGAGGACAGCAACCAGUAAUGAUUAACAGUGUGUUAAAUGCACUUCUUGGAAACCUGGCACAGCAAGAAUAUCUUUUUGCUGUUGAGUUAUUACGAGGUUAUAGAUGAAUUAAAUAAAGCUCUCUGCUAUUAUAAUUAA